AGAGCCACCUGGACCUUCACCCAUGAAAUCCUGGGACUUGCAUGUGGGCCUCAGCUUGUGUCUGUGCAUAAGUCCCAGGGUCUUGGGUGUCAAAUGUCAGGCCUUGUACUGAGCUGUCAAAGAGAAGAAUGGGCUGAGAUGAUUGAUGACUGGGAGGCCUGAAACCCAAACCUCCACUGCAAAUGCUUCUUUUACAAAAAAGCUGGGGCUACCCACAGCGCCUAUAUUCAAGGUCACUUCGCAUACCAUUACACCCACCACUGUAGGCUCCCGACAAGCCAGGCCAUUCACACAGGGGCCGACUUCUCAGCCUCGCUCACCCCCUGUCUCUCCACCCCUCCUCUGCUCCCCUCACAAACCCAUGCCCAAGUGUUGGAAUACUUAAUCCCAAUCAAAUAAAAAAGAUGAGCACAAAGAUAUGUAUUUUUUCAUCUUGUUUGGUUUUGUCUUGUUUUUCUUCAGGCUACAUUUGCUCUGAGAAGCCAUGAGCUGGAGCUUUCUGGAGCACAAGUCAGAUGACAAGAUUAUUAAUGGGAGCAGGGCAAUGUCAUAUCUGAUUUCAUGCAUAUUCAUGUAGGGAGCCACACAGCUGGGACCAUGCGCUGUGGAGAGGACAAAUAAAGAGUGCUCUACCCCCCACCCCCAGCAUGAAGAAUGUCAUUGUGGAGAUGAGGAGCCUGAUUGGAAAAGUUUAAGUAAUUGUAGCCUUUAUUUUGAAAAAAAGGGAUAGAAUUUGCAGAAACAACAACAAAACAAGGUUUGCUACCCUGGCCAAACUAAGUCAAUACUAAGUUAUACAGAACCUUGUAUCUAAGGGUCACCCACCUAGAAGCUCUCUGGAUUGAAGUAUGCAGAGAGACAACUUUUGCACUUGGUGUCAACAAAAGAAGUAAAUGUUUAGAAGCAAAAGAGAAAGAAGGAAGGAAGGAAGGAAAGAAGGAAGGAUGGAAGGAAGGAACAAAGGAAGGAAGAAGAAAGAAAGAAAGAAAAAGAAAGAAAGAGAAAAGAAAGAAAGAAUCAGCUUCUAAUGACAGUUAAAACAUGGACUGCUCUCCCAGUGAAAGAUAAAGUAUAGUUAGUUAUGGAUUAAACAAUGUAAAAUCCUAAGAGGGAUAAAACUUAGUUAGUUACUAAGACCAGGAUCCAAUAUCCUUUCAGUCCCAACAAAAUAAUUGCCAGGAAAUUCCUUGCAAUCUUAAUUCCGUAGCCCAGACAAGCAACAAAGCAGUUGUCUGUACCCUAGGACUAUUUUGGAAGUUCUACAUGGUAUUACAGAACCUGCCAAUCAUAGCUAAGAGACUGACCAGGAAAGAAAGUUACUCACAAAAGUGUAUUGUGCAACUAACUAGAACGAAAAUAAGGUUCUCAAGAGGCACCAGUAUGAGAAGAACUGUUGGGAAGAAUCUUCUUGGCCAUCCACCUGGGCCCAAGCAACCACAGGGAACAGGGACCAAUGAGAGGAGGCCAAAUAGCUGUCUUCAAACAAGAAAGGUGGACACGUCUAAUGUUCCCCUCUUUCUUAUUUAUGUAUUCACUCAUUCGUACAUACAUGUGUGCAUGCAUUCAUUUUACUGUGAAAAUCAUUCUAUUCUAGGACUGUUUCUUGGAAUUAUGUAAGUGAUUAUUAUUUCAGAAAUUUUCAGUUAAAUAUUAGCUAUUAGCAUAAUGGAAUUCAUGCUGUAUAUUCAUUAUAUUUAAUUAUUUAAUAUGGAGAUCAAAUAAAUAUGUUUCUACCCAC
rnacentral:lncRNA from 1 species